UACGUAGGGGGCGAGCGUUGUCCGGAAUUAUUGGGCGUAAAGAGCGUGUAGGCGGCGCGGUAAGUCGGGUGUGAAAUCUCGGAGCUUAACUCCGAAACUGCAUUCGAUACUGCCGUGCUUGAGGACUGGAGAGGAGACUGGAAUUUACGGUGUAGCGGUGAAAUGCGUAGAUAUCGUAAGGAAGACCAGUGGCGAAGGCGGGUCUCUGGACAGUUCCUGACGCUGAGGCACGAAGGUCAGGGGAGCAAACGGG
rnacentral:rRNA from 1 species